CAAAUGCGCAUCGCCACUGACUGAACCUGAACUCAACUUCCUUCCCAGGGCAACUUUCCUUUUCACUGAAAAAGGCAGAAUACCGCUUAUCAAAGCAUCCCGGUUCUCAACUGUUCACCUCACCCACCUCGAGUCUCCCACAAGGAAUCGCAGAUAACCUUACCUCCUCCUUCUAAAGACUAACUUGGCUUCAUAAUCUUCCUCUUUCUCCCAACCCAAAGCAGUAACAACCGCCGCCACCACACUAAGGAGGGAAAGGGGUGGAGUUGGAGGUAAAUCCCUGACACCAGCAGCCUAGGAAACGCAGUCCUGGAAGAUGGGGAAAGAGACUAACGCGGGGGAAGAGCGCUGUUAUCUUCACAGGAGAGAUGAGAACAGACAAGGAUAAGAACGUGGCCCGGGAUGAAGCCACCACCCGAGAGAUGUCCAAGGGGAAGACUGCCCUAGGA